rnacentral:rRNA from 1 species
GGCAGCAGUGAGGAAUAUUGGUCAAUGGACGAGAGUCUGAACCAGCCAAGUAGCGUGAAGGAUGAAGGUCCUACGGAUUGUAAACUUCUUUUAUAAGGGAAUAAAACCUCCCACGUGUGGGAGCUUGUAUUACCUUAGAAU